rnacentral:rRNA from 1 species
AACGAACGCUGGCGGCAUGCCUAACACAUGCAAGUCGAACGAGACCUUCGGGUCUAGUGGCGCACGGGUGCGUAACGCGUGGGAAUCUGCCCUUGGGUUCGGAAUAACAGUUAGAAAUGACUGCUAAUACCGGAUAAUGACGUAAGUCCAAAGAUUUAUCGCCCAAGGAUGAGCCCGCGUAGGAUUAGCUUGUUGGUGAGGUAAAAGCUCACCAAGGCGACGAUCCUUAGCGGUCUGAGAGGAUGAUCAGCCACACUGGGACUGAGACACGGCCCAGACUCCUACGGGAGGCAGCAGUGGGGAAUAUUGGACAAUGGGCGAAAGCCUGAUCCAGCAAUGCCGCGUGAGUGAUGAAGGCCUUAGGGUUGUAAAGCUCUUUUACCCGGGAUGAUAAUGACAGUACCGGGAGAAUAAGCUCCGGCUAACUCCGUGCCAGCCGCCGCGGU